UACGUAGGGGGCAAGCGUUGUCCGGAAUCAUUGGGCGUAAAGCGCGCGUAGGCGGCCCGGUAAGUCCGUUGUAAAAGUCGAAGGCUCAACCUUCGGAAAGCCGAUGGAUACUGCCGGGCUAGAGUCCGGAAGAGGCGAGUGGAAUCCUGGUGUAGCGGGUGGAAUGCGCAGAUAUCAGGAGGAACACCCAUAGCGAAGGCAGCUCGCUGGGGACGGUACUGACGCUGAGGCGCGAAAGCGUGGGGGAGCGAACAGG
rnacentral:rRNA from 1 species